rnacentral:rRNA from 1 species
AAUGAACGCUGGCGGCAGGCCUAACACAUGCAAGUCGAACGGAUCCUUCGGGAUUGGUGGCGGACGGGUGAGUAACGCGUGGGAACAUACCCAAGGGUACGGAAUAGCCUCGGGAAACUGGGAGUAAUACCGUAUGUGCUCGAAAGAGGAAAGAUUUAUCGCCUUUGGAUUGGCCCGCGUUGGAUUAGGUAGUUGGUGGGGUAAUGGCCUACCAAGCCGACGAUCCAUAGCUGGUUUGAGAGGAUGAUCAGCCACACUGGGCCUGAGACACGGCCCAGACUCCUACGGGAGGCAGCAGUGGGGAAUCUUAGACAAUGGGGGAAACCCUGAUCUAGCCAUGCCGCGUGAUCGAUGAAGGCCUUAGGGUUGUAAAGAUCUUUCAGGUGGGAAGAUAAUGACUGUACCACCAGAAGAAGCCCCGGCUAACUCCGUGCCAGCCGCCGCAGUAA